GGUGCAGUAGCUCGGUGGUAGAGCUCCCGUCUCUUAUGCGGGAAGACCAGGGUUCGAUUCCCGGCUACUUCC
rfam:Toxocara canis scaffold123, whole genome shotgun sequence.